CGGGGUGUGGCCCAGUAUGGUCAGGGCGCUUGACUGGGGGUCAAGAAGCCGUGAGUUCGAAUCUCACCACUCCGA
rnacentral:tRNA from 1 species